GACCAUGGAACCCCUGGCAAAGAAGAUCUUUAAAGGAGUUUUAGCUGCUGAGCUCGUGGGCGUUUUUGGAGCUUAUUUUUUGUUUAAAAAGAUGAACUCGAGCCAAGGUAAACCGUUCAGCAGUUGUUUUCUAGCAGGGGAUGCACUAAAUGUUGGUGGCAUUUCUGGGCAAAACGUUUCUUGAGAUUGAAGGUAUGACGGUUUAUGGGCAGGAGGGGAGCGAGCUGUACAAUAGGUGACUCGCAUUUGACUUGCAGACUAGGAGUGUGCAGGUUUUACCUGGGGAGGGUAGAACAAGCGUCCCUAUUCUGGCUCAGAACUGAAGGGAAUGGAUGGGGGGCAGUUUGGCCUGCCUGUCAUACUUGUAGAAAAAGCUAAUACCACGUGGGUGGUGAUGGUGCACACCUUUCCCAGCACUUGGGAGGCAGAGGCAGGUGGAUCUAUGUGAGUUCAAGGCCAUUCUGGUCUAUAGUGAGUUCCAGGACAGCUAGGGCUACUAAGAAAUCCUGCUAUGAAAAACAAAACAACAAAAAUAAAGGCUAUAUUUUAAGAUGAAUAAAAUUUAUAUACUAUCCUAUAAGAUUACUUCUUGGAUUAGUAGUUGGACCUUAGUACAAAAUGCUAAUAGACACUAAUAUAUUAUUAAAUUGUGGUUUAAUAUGUUAAUACAGUGUUUUUUUUUUUUUUUUUUUAAAUAUCAG
rnacentral:lncRNA from 1 species